rnacentral:rRNA from 1 species
AACGAACGCUGGCGGCAUGCCUAACACAUGCAAGUCGAACGAGACCUUCGGGUCUAGUGGCGCACGGGUGCGUAACGCGUGGGAAUCUGCCCUCUGGUUCGGAACAACAGUUGGAAACGACUGCUAAUACCGGAUAAUGACUUCGGUCCAAAGAUUUAUCGCCUGAGGAUGAGCCCGCGUCGGAUUAGCUUGUUGGUGAGGUAAAAGCUCACCAAGGCGACGAUCCGUAGCUGGUCUGAGAGGAUGAUCAGCCACACUGGGACUGAGACACGGCCCAGACUCCUACGGGAGGCAGCAGUGGGGAAUAUUGGACAAUGGGCGAAAGCCUGAUCCAGCAAUGCCGCGUGAGUGAUGAAGGCCUUAGGGUUGUAAAGCUCUUUUACCCGGGAUGAUAAUGACAGUACCGGGAGAAUAAGCCCCGGCUAACUCCGUGCCAGCCGCCGCGGUAA